rnacentral:rRNA from 1 species
AUGAGUACAUCGGCUUUAUACUCUCCUGGAACACCGACUGGAAGAUCGGGGAUGCGCCCAAGGACGACGAAGAGAUGUCUGAGGAGAUCUACAACAUGUGCCUCCAUGCCAUUUCGUACUUCACGGAUCUCUGCGCCAGGAAGCGUACGCUGCAGGAGUUCAUCAAGGCCCAGGUCGCCGUCCGUGGCUACGCCGAGAUGGCUGAGGAGGCGAUGA